rnacentral:rRNA from 1 species
UCAGUCGAUCCCUACGGGGAGGCAGCAGUGGGGAAUAUUGCACAAUGGGGGAAACCCUGAUGCAGCCAUGCCGCGUGUGUGAAGAAGGCCUUCGGGUUGUAAAGCACUUUCAGUAGGGAGGAAGGUAGUGUAGUUAACACCUGCAUUAUUUGACGUUACCUACAGAAGAAGCACCGGCUAACUCCGUGCCAGCAGCCGCGGUAAUACGGAGGGUGCGAGCGUUAAUCGGAAUUACUGGGCGUAAAGCGCAUGCAGGCGGCCUGUUAAGUCAGAUGUGAAAGCCCGGGGCUUAACCUCGGAAUUGCAUUUGAAACUGGCAGGCUAGAGUCUUGUAGAGGGGGGUAGGAAUUUCAGGUGUAGCGGUGAAAUGCGUAGAGAUCUGAAGGAAUACCAGUGGCGAAGGCGGCCCCCUGGACAAAGACUGACGCUCAGAUGCGAAAGCGUGGGGAGCAAACAGGAUUAGAUACCCUGGUAG